ensembl:lncRNA
CACAGCUCAAAAGCAUCAAUUCUUUGGCACUCAGCCUUCUUUAUGGUCCAAGUCUCACAUCUGUACAUGACUACUGGAAAAACCACAGCUUUGCCUAGAUGGACCUUUGUCAGCCAAGUGAUGUCUCUUCAUUCUAAUUCACAAAUCAAUUAGAUGUACCGAAAACUGUAAUGCCUGCAGGCAGUAACGGUCAACAGAAAGGGCUCAAUUCUCCAUGAGAACACCUGACUGCACAUUGCACAAUCACCACUUUAAAAGUUAAACAAUUUAGACUACGAAGUUUUGCCUCAUCUUCCAUAUUCACCUUACUUCUCACUAACUGACUACCACUUCUUCAAACAUCUCAACAACUUUUUGCAAGGAAAACCCUUCACAACCAGCAGUAUGCAGAAAAUGCUUUCCAACAGUUUGUUGAAUCCCAAAGCAUGGAUCUUUACACUACAGGAAUAAGCAAACUUAUUUCUCCUUGGCAAAAAUGUGUUGAUAAUAAUGUUCCUAUUUUGAUUAAUAAAGAUGUGUUUCAACCUAGCUUUAAUGAUUUAAAAUUCACUGCCUGAAACCACAAUUAUCUUUGCAAUCUAAAUACUUUGUUUUUGUGAUACACUGCCGCCUUAUCCUCUUCUUUGUUUUCAUCUUCCUCCUUGGAACGUGGCCAUGAAACUGGAGCUGGAGCAGCCACCUUGAACCAUGAGGUCAGAAUCCACAAAGCCGAAAGUGACAUGCUAAGGAUGGUAGAACAUAAAGAUAAAAGGAGUCUAGAGUGGCAUGUUGUGGAAGGUCAUGCAGAAGGAUAUGUCCUGUGCAAGGCUGCCACCCAGUUGAGACUUCCCCCUGGACUUGGAGGGAAAAGGAUUGGGUGAAUU